UGAAAUGCCGGCGUGUAUACAUUUUCAACAUUUGACAUAACCCUGUAUGUUUUGUAGGAACAACCCAGGACGUGUAUUUCACAGCACCCAGUCAACUGCCACAAGUGACUCAAACACAGGCCACCAGGGGCGCUCAGCUGUACCACUGCAGUGCUGCUGAAAUUGCCAGCACCAGCGGCUUUGUAGCAGCUGUUUCACAGCCUGUCGGAAACGUUGCCUAUGAAAUUAUUGGCCCUGAUGACGAGAGCCCUCAAGGGGCAAACGACAUCUCU
rnacentral:lncRNA from 1 species